GAUGAACGCUGGCUACAGGCUUAACACAUGCAAGUCGAGGGGAAACGACGGGGAAGCUUGCUUCCCCGGGCGUCGACCGGCGCACGGGUGAGUAACGCGUAUCCAACCUGCCUCUGACUGAGGGAUAACCCGUCGAAAGUCGGCCUAAUACCUCAUGGCAUCGUCUGCGGGCAUCCAACGACGAUUAAAGAUUUCAUCGGUCAGGGAUGGGGAUGCGUCUGAUUAGCUUGUUGGCGGGGUAACGGCCCACCAAGGCUACGAUCAGUAGGGGUUCUGAGAGGAAGGUCCCCCACAUUGGAGCUGGGACACGGUCCAAACUCCUACGGGAGGCAGCAGUGAGGAAUAUUGGUCAAUGGGCGGGAGCCUGAACCAGCCAAGUAGCGUGCAGGAUGACGGCCCUAUGGGUUGUAAACUGCUUUUAUGCGGGGAUAAAGUGAGGGACGUGUCCUUCAUUGCAGGUACCGCAUGAAUAAGGACCGGCUAAUUCCGUG
rnacentral:rRNA from 1 species